rnacentral:rRNA from 1 species
UACGUAGGGUGCGAGCGUUGUCCGGAAUUAUUGGGCGUAAAGCGUUCGUAGGCGGCUUGUCGCGUCGGAUGUGAAAGCCCGGGGCUUAACUCCGGGUCUGCAUUCGAUACGGGCAGGCUAGAGUUCGGUAGGGGAGAUCGGAAUUCCUGGUGUAGCGGUGAAAUGCGCAGAUAUCAGGAGGAACACCGGUGGCGAAGGCGGAUCUCUGGGCCGAUACUGACGCUGAGAAGCGAAAGCGUGGGGAGCGAACAGG